GGUUGAGGGCUGCGGGGACGCCGCGGCGAGGAGGGGCAGGUUCUGCGGAGAUGGCGCGGCGAGGUGGGGCAGUGGCGGUUGUGCGGCGAGGCGGGGCAGGUGCUGCGGAGACGGCGCGCGGCGAGGCGGGGCAGUGGCGUCGCGGGGGAGGAUGGAGGACGCCGGAGCAGAGGACGACAGCCCCUCCAUCGCUGCUGUCCGCGCACGCCCGCGUGCUCGCCUCCUUCCGCGCCCGCGCCGGAGCGCUGUUGUCUGCGCGCGCCCGCGUGCUCACCUCCGUCCGCGCCCUUCAGCUCGCCUCUGCCCGCCGCGCCCUUCAGCUCGCCUCCGCCCGCGUCCUGCCGCGUCCCAACCGCGCCGGGAGACCGUCUAUCUGCCGCGCUUGCCUUUGCUCACGCCCUGCAGCUCGCCUCCGCCCUCGUCCUGCCGCGGUGAGCGCGAGCCUGCACCUGUGGCCGCGAGCAGGCAAAGCUGUGAGCUAAACCGUCCCGACCCGGAUUGGAGUUCGCUGCUAUAAGUUGAAUUGUUCUUGGCCGGAAUAGUGAACCAGGCCAGCACCACCAGCGAGCAGUGCACCGUCGCUUGGGUUGUAACACCAUGCUCAGCAUCAUGUCGCCUUUGAGUAUGCCGGAGGAACAUGCACCGAGUUCACCUUUAAGUACGCCGGAGGAACCAGCGCUGUGUUCGCCGGAAUUCUUGGUCCAGAGAAGCAUUGUGAGUCCAACGGUGGCUACAACAGAGGUCAACUUUGUUCUCCAAUAUAGGUGGCGUAUGUUUGUGCAAAAUGAUUAUGAAAGGACUUAUGGUAACUUUAUCUUUUGUCAAGGUUGUUUACUUGGUGGAGCAAACUUCCAUUUCCUCUGAACAGGUGAACAUGACAUGUGUGAUGGCUGUCAGCCCUAAUGAGCUUUAGACAUGUAUCUGAGGUUUCGUCGGCUGUAAACAAGUAGGGUCAACGAGCCUUGCACAUCCUGGACCAUCACAUGGACACAUGAAACAGGUCGAUACCGGCAGCUUUUGGUAACCAGUCUAAGCUCUAGCACCUUGAUGCAAGCCAGAAUAGCCUCACUGGAUCAACAUUCUCGGGCAUAACAGAAUUGUUGAACCAGUUGACACUUGAUCUUAACUAAUCAGUUAAUUAAACCCUGAAUCUGAAUGAAGGGCUCCUUGAUUAAUUUGUUCACAAGUAGUCCAAUGAUUCAGGGGUUUAGACUUUAGUGUUUUUGGAUUAUUACGGGGCAGCAACCCUGCUUUUGAGCACACCCAAACAAAUUGAAUCAGGGUCUCUGCUUUUGGUUGUUCAAGUUUGUGGUAAAUCAUUAUGAACAGUUGUGUUUCCGGUGGCACCUAAAUA